rnacentral:rRNA from 1 species
UAGAAUAAUUUGUUCUCAGGAAAUGGAGAAAGGUAAUACUUGCUUCAUGAAUGAAAAACUUGAGUUUCCUAUAAAGAAACUUGAGUAUUAUUCUUACGUGGUGUCACAGAAUCGGAGGCCCCGACUGUUUACUAUAAACACAGACACCUGCAACGAUGUAUUUCUGUGUAUAGGUGUUGAAUUUUGCCCAAUGCCAUUAAUAUAAAGAAGGCCGAGUCACUUUGCCGACUGAAGUUCUGGUCAAUGGCGGUCUUAACUAUAAGGAUCCUAAGGUAGCGAAAUUUAUUGGCCGUUAAAUGCGGUCCUGCAUGAAUAAAGUAACGAUGGUCUCACUGUCUCUACAAGUAUCUCAGUGAAAUUGAAUUAGCCGUGCAGAUGCGGUCUGCCUCCAGUGUAC